rnacentral:misc_RNA from 1 species
GAUGAAGAACGUAGCGAAAUGCGAUAAGUAAUGCGAAUUGCAGAAUUCCAGUGAGUCAUCGAAUCUUUGAACGCACAUUGCGCCCUUUGGUAUUCCGAAGGGCAUGCCUGUUCGAGCGUCAUUAUCACCCCUCAAGCCCUCGGCUUGGUGUUGGACGGUUUGGUGGAGGCCCCCUCGGGGGCUCCUGCCCCUCCCAAAGACAAUGACGGCGGCCUCGUUGGACCCCCGGUACACUGAGUUCUUCACGGGACACGUAUCGGACACAUUGGUUACGGGACACGGUCUGCCUCCCCUCAGGGAGAAUCUUUCUAAGGUUGACCUCGGAUCAGGUAGGGAUACCCGCUGAACUUAAGCAUAUCAAUAAGCGGAGGA